rnacentral:rRNA from 1 species
AUUGAACGCUGGCGGCAGGCCUAACACAUGCAAGUCGCACGAGUGGCGGACGGGUGAGUAAUGUCUGGGAAACUGCCUGAUGGAGGGUGAUAACUCCUGGAAACGGUAGCUAAUACCGCAUACCAUCAGAUGUGCCCAGAUGGGAUUAGCUAGUUGGUGGGUUAACGGCUCACCAAGGCGACGAUCCCUAGCUGUUCUGAGAGGUUGACCAGCAAAACUGGAACUAAGACACGGUACAGACUCCUACGGGAGGAAGCAGUGGGGAAUAUUGCACAAUGGGCGCAAGCCUGAUGCAGCGAUGCCGAGUGUAUGAAGAAGGCCUUCGGGUUGUAAAGUACUUUCAGCGGGGAGGCGUUACCCGCAGAAGAAGAACCGGCUAACUACGUGCCAGCAGCAGCGGUAAUAC